rnacentral:lncRNA from 1 species
AUCAAAUUAAGCCAAUUAGCAAUCGAAUUACUAAUCGAUCCUCCUGCAACACUUGCACUAGGUUAAAUGUCAAUCGUAUUGAUCGUUUAACCCUAGAAUGAUUCUUAAUCGUUGAUCAACCAUCCGAUCGGAUCCUGAACUCUAAUGUGUGUGACCUCAUAGGUCCAAAUCUAAGUUGGUAGUAUAAGAAUAAAUUUUUGUAUCAAUCAAAGUGAUCAUCUAGCAAUGGUACCC